rnacentral:sRNA from 1 species
AUCAGCGAGUCUCGCCACUCGUCGCAGACGCGAGCGGGGGGCGGGGGCGCGGCGAGGCGCCGGCGGCCGUGACGAGGCGCUCCCGGAGCUGAGCGCUUCUGCUCUGGGCACGCAUGGCGCCCGCACACGGAGUCUGACCUGAUGCAGACGCAAGGGGGUUAAUAUGAACGCCCCUCUCGGUGGAAUCUGGCUCUGGCUCCCUCUGCUCUUGACCUGGCUCACCCCCGAGGUCAACUCUUCAUGGUGGUACAUGAGAGCUACAGGUGGCUCCUCCAGGGUGAUGUGCGAUAAUGUGCCAGGCCUGGUGAGCAGCCAGCGGCAGCUGUGUCACCGACAUCCAGAUGUGAUGCGUGCCAUUAGCCAGGGCGUGGCCGAGUGGACAGCAGAAUGCCAGCACCAGUUCCGCCAGCACCGCUGGAAUUGCAACACCCUGGACAGGGAUCACAGCCUCUUUGGCAGGGUCCUACUCCGAAGUAAGUCUCCUGCCUUCACCCAGCCCUAUGGCUCUCCACUCAUGCACAGCUCCCUCACUCCAUCUUCAAAGACCCUGCUUAUCUUCUAUUGCAUUUUA